UGGAGAGAGGGUGAAAGAUGGCUUCGGCUAUCACUAGAGGAUGGGCCCGCGGCGCAUUAGCUAGUUGGUAAGGUAACGGCUUACCAAGGCGACGAUGCGUAGCCGACCUGAGAGGGUGAUCGGCCACACUGGGACUGAGACACGGCCCAGACUCCUACGGAGGCAGCAGUAGGGAAUCUUCCGCAAUGGACGAAAGUCUGACGGAGCAACGCCGCGUGAGUGAGGAAGGCCUUCGGGUCGUAAAGCUCUGUUGUGAGGGAAGAAGCGGUACCGUUCGAAUAGGGCGGUACCUUGACGGUACCUCACCAGAAAGCCACGGCUAACUACGUGCCAGCAGCCGCGGUAAUACGUAGGUGGCAAGCGUUGUCCGGAAUUAUUGGGCGUAAAGCGCGCGCAGGCGGCUUCUUAAGUCUGAUGUGAAAUCUCGGGGCUCAACCCCGAGCGGCCAUUGGAAACUGGGGAGCUUGAGUGCAGAAGAGGAGAGUGGAAUUCCACGUGUAGCGGUGAAAUGCGUAGAGAUGUGGAGGAACACCAGUGGCGAAGGCGACUCUCUGGUCUGUAACUGACGCUGAGGCGCGAAAGCGUGGGGAGCAAACAGGAUUAGAUACCCUGGUAGUCCACGCCGUAAACGAUGAGUGCUAGGUGUUAGGGGUUUCGAGCCCGUAGUGCCGAAGUAAC
rnacentral:rRNA from 2 species